rnacentral:lncRNA from 1 species
AUUUGGCUUUAUUUUUUAUAGUUAAUUUGCUAAUUUAUAAAAGAAUUAGACCUCCUUUGAAAUUGCGAAAAAAUUGUAUUACGUAAAAAGGUGAUGAAAAAAAAUUCUAUUUGUUUCCGUACGUAAUAUUACAUUCCGUAUAUCACGAUUAGUCGAUUACAAUAUAUUUUCUACAGUCUUAUUGAAGAACGCAAAAACAUACCCCUAUAUACUUUUUUCUCAAUUCUAUUUUCUCUAAUAGAGUUAGAUAUGUCUCAAUACCAAACUAAGCCUUAGACUAUGCUAAUUUUACUAAAUAACUAGAUAGCAAAACACUCCAAA